rnacentral:rRNA from 1 species
GACGAACGCUGGCGGCGUGCCUAAUACAUGCAAGUCGAACGCAGUGGGGACGAUUGAGUAGCACGUGGGUAACCGACAAUCAGAGUGGAUAACACUUGGAAACAGGUGCUAAACCGCUACUGGUGGAUGGUCCAGAUGUGCAUUAGCUAGGUGGUGAGGUAACGGCGCACCAAGGCCACGAUGCAUAGACGAUCUGAGAGGGUGAUCGGCAACACUGGGACUGAGACACGGCCCAGACUCCUACGGGAGGCAGCAGUAGGGAAUCUUCGGCAAUGGACGAAAGUCUGACCGAGCAACGCCGCGUGAGUGAAGAAGGUUUUCGGAUCGUAAAACUCUGUUGUUAGAGAAGCGGUAUCUAACCAGAAAGCCACGGCUAACUACGUGCCAGCAGCCGCGGUAAUUC